rnacentral:rRNA from 1 species
AUGGGCGAAAGCCUGAUGCAGCGACGCCGCGUGAGGGAUGACGGCCUUCGGGUUGUAAACCUCUUUCAGCAGGGACGAAGCGAAAGUGACGGUACCUGCAGAAGAAGCACCGGCCAACUACGUGCCAGCAGCCGCGGUAAUACGUAGGGUGCAAGCGUUGUCCGGAAUUACUGGGCGUAAAGAGCUCGUAGGCGGUUUGUCGCGUCGUCUGUGAAAACUCGAGGCUCAACCUCGAGCUUGCAGGCGAUACGGGCAGACUUGAGUACUGCAGGGGAGACUGGAAUUCCUGGUGUAGCGGUGAAAUGCGCAGAUAUCAGGAGGAACACCGGUGGCGAAGGCGGGUCUCUGGGCAGUAACUGACGCUGAGGAGCGAAAGCGUGGGUAGCGAACAGGAUUAGAUACCCUGGUAGUCCACGCCGUAAACGGUGGGCGCUAGGUGUGGGUUUCCUUCCACGGGAUCCGUGCCGUAGCUAACGCAUUAAGCGCCCCGCCUGGGGAGUACGGCCGCAAGGCUA